UUUGAUUAUGGCUCAGAUUGAACGCUGGCGGGAUGCUUUACACAUGCAAAGUCGAACGGCGGCCUGGACUCGGUCUGGUGGCGAGUGGCGAACGGGUGAGUAAUGUCGGAACGUGCCUAGUAGCGGGGGAUAACUACGCGAAAGCGUAGCUAAUACCUUACGCCCUUCGGGGAAAGCGGGGACCUUCGGGCCUCGCAUAAUGAAACGGCCGAUAUCGGAUUGGCUAGUUGGUGAGGUAACGGCUCACCAAGGCGACGAUCCGUAGCUGGUUUGAGAGGACGACCAGCCACACUGGGACUGAGACACGGCGAACUCUACGGGAGGCAGCAGUGGGGAGCACACGGACAAUGGAAACCCUGAUCCAGCCAUCCCGCGUGUGCGAUGAAGGCCUUCGGGUUGUAAAGCACUUUUGGCAGGAAAGAAACGGCACGGGAUAAUACACGUGCAACUGACGGUACCUGCAGAAUAAGCGCAAACGCUCAUUGCCAGCAGCCGCGUGUACGUAGGGUGCAAGCGUUAAUCGGAAUUACUGGGCGUAAAGCGUGCGCAGGCGGUUCGGAAAAGAAGAUGUGAAAUCCCAGAGCUUAACUUUGGAACUGCAUUUUUAACUACCGAGCUAGAGUGUGUCAGAGGGAGGUGAAUUCAGCGACUGUAGCAGUGAAAUGCGUGAUGUGGAGGAACACCGAUGGCGAAAAAGCAGCCUCCUGGGAUAACACUGACGCUCAUGCACGAAAGCGUGGGAGCAAACGAGUUAGAUACCCUGGUAGUCCACGCCUAAACGAUGUCAACUGGCUAUUUGGGGCCUUCGGAGCCUUGGUAGCGCAGCUAACGCGUGAAUUGACCGCCUGGGAAGUACGGUCGCAAGAUUAAACUCAAAGGAAUUGGCAGGACCCGCAGCGGUGGAUGAUGUGGAUUAAUUCGAUGCAACGCGAAAAACCUUACCUACCCUUGACAUGUCUGGAAUCCCGAAGAGAUUUGGGAGUGCUCGCAAGAGAACCGGAACACAGGUGCUGCAUGGCUGUCGUCAGCUCGUGUGCGUGAGAUGUUGGGUUAAGUCCCGCAACGAGCGCAACCCUUGUCAUUAGUUGCUACGAAGGGCACUCUAAUGAGACUGCCGGUGACAAACCGGAGGAAGGUGGGGAUGACGUCAAAGUCCUCAUAGCCCAUAUGGUAGGGCUUCACACGUCAUACAAUGGUCGGGACAGAGGGUCGCCAACCCGCGAAGGGGGCCAAUCCCAGAAACCCGAUCGUAGUCGGAUCGCAGUCUGCAACUCGACUGCGUGAUCGGAAUCGCUAGUAAUCGCGGAUCAGCAUGUCGCGGUAGGAACGUUCCCGGGUCUUGCACACCGCCCGUCACACCAUGGGAGUGGGUUUUUUGCAGAAGUAGUUAAGCUAACCGUAAGGAGGGCGAUUACCACGGUAGGAUUCAUGACUGGGGUGAAGUCGUAACAGGUAG
rnacentral:rRNA from 1 species